CAGGGGCCGUAGCUCAGCUGGGAGAGCGCCUGCUUUGCAAGCAGGAUGUCGUCGGUUCGAUCCCGUCCGGCUCCACC
rnacentral:tRNA from 1 species